rnacentral:rRNA from 1 species
GUAGUCUCGCACAGAUGCAUAUCAAUAAGCGGAGGAAAAGAAACUAACUAGGAUUCCCCUUAGUAACGGCGAGUGAAGCGGGAAGAGCUCAAAUUUGAAAUCUUAAAGGGUUUCCCUUUACGAAUUGUAGUUUAAAGAAGUGUUUUCUGUUGAGGUUUUGGUAAAAGUUCUUUGGAAUAGGACAUCAUAGAGGGUGAGAAUCCCGUAUUUGACCUUUACUUUCAACUUUGUGAUACACUUUCAAAGAGUCGGAUUGUUUGGGAAUGCAGUCCAAAAUGGGUGGUAAAUUUCAUCUAAAGCUAAAUAUUGGCGAGAGACCGAUAGCGAACAAGUACCGUGAGGGAAAGAUGAAAAGAACUUUGAAAAGAGAGUUAAACAGUACGUGAAAUUGUCUAAAGGGAAGCGUUUGACACCAGUGUUGUUUUUCUGAAAAUCAAUUAAAGAACUGUUUAUGCUAAGCUGUUUAGACUUUAUCAGCUAAUCUGUUUAGUUUUGAGCUUUUCUUUAAUGCACUUUUCAGUUAACAAGUCAACAUCAAUUUCUUUUGCUGUAAAAAAGCUUGAGGAAGGUGGCUUGAGAUUCGUCUUAAGUGUUUAUAGCCUCUUGCCUAUGCAGUCGGAGAGAUUGAGGUCUGCAGCGUAGAUCCUUCGGGGCUAAAUGCAUUUGUGCUAAGUUAUAGCAUUUUAUAGACAACUUGUUGACUAUGAUUUGUCUUGUAGCUUACUCGCUUAUGCUAUUUUACCUACGCUUAGGAUGUUGAUGUGAUACUGCGAGC